rnacentral:rRNA from 1 species
UGCAAGUCGAACGAGAAACUGGUUUUUAAUCAGUGGACAGUGGCGAACGGGUGAGUAACACGUGAGAAACCUGCCCCGGAGACUGGGACAACCGUUGGAAACGACGGCUAAUACCAGAUACCCCCGAUUGGUCGCAUGGCCGAUCGAGGAAAUGCUCUGGCGCUUCGGGAGGGUCUCGCGGCCUAUCAGCUAGUUGGUGGGGUAACGGCCCACCAAGGCAACGACGGGUAGCUGGUCUGAGAGGACGAUCAGCCACACUGGGACUGAGACACGGCCCAGACUCCUACGGGAGGCAGCAGUGGGGAAUAUUGCGCAAUGGGCGAAAGCCUGACGCAGCAACGCCGCGUGAGGGAAGACGGCUCUCGGGUUGUAAACCUCUUUCAGUGAUGACGAAAAUGACGGUAAUCACAGAAGAAGCUCCGGCCAACUACGUGCCAGCAGCCGCGGUAAUACGUAGGGAGCAAGCGUUGUCCGGAUUCAUUGGGCGUAAAGAGCUCGUAGGCGGUUGUGUAAGUCAGAUGUGAAAACUCAGGGCUCAACCCGGAGACGCCAUCUGAUACUGCACUGACUGGAGUCCGGUAGGGGAGCAUGGAAUUCCUGGUGUAGCGGUGGAAUGCGCAGACAUCAGGAGGAACACCAGUGGCGAAGGCGGUGCUCUGGGCCGGAACUGACGCUGAGGAGCGAAAGCGUGGGGAGCGAACAGGAUUAGAUACCCUGGUAGUCCACGCCGUAAACGUUGGGCACUAGGUGUGGGGUCCCUCUAACGGGGAUUCCGUACCGUAGCUAACGCAUUAAGUG